UUUCCGUAGGUGAACCUGCGGAAGGAUCAUUAUUGUAUAACCGAGAUGCGAGGGCUGUCGCUGACCCGAAAGGGCGUGCACGCCCGAGUGCCCUCACACACAUCCAUCUCACCCCUAUGUGCACCACCGCGUGGGUCCCCCUUUGGCUUGUUCGGAGGGGGGCUUACGUUUUCACACAAACUUUGUAUGCAGUGUAGAAUGUACUUUUUGUUUUUGCGAUCACGCAAUCAAUACAACUUUCAACAACGGAUCUCUUGGCUCUC
rnacentral:misc_RNA from 1 species